rnacentral:rRNA from 1 species
GCUCAGAAGCAGCCAUACAUUCAAAGAGUGCGUAAUAGCUCACUGGUCGAGAGGUCCUGCGCCGAAAAUGUCCGGGGCUGAAACACGACACCGAAGCUGAGGAAUGUCUGAAGACAUUGGUAGAGGAGCAUUGGAUACGCGACGAAGCAGUACCGGAAGGAGCUGUGGAGUGUAUCGAAGAGAGAAUGCCGGAAUGAGUAGCGAGAGAAAGGUGAGAAUCCUUCGGCCGAAUAUCUAAGGUUUCCAGGGUAAAGCUGAUCUGCCCUGGGUAAGUCGGGGCCUAAGGCGAGGGCGAGAGCCGUAGCCGAUGGACAACAGGUUGAGAUUCCUGUACUGCAGUAAGACAGAACUGUGGGGACACGUGUGGAGAGCAUAGGCGCGGAAUGGAAAGCCGCGUGCAAGCGGGGUAGGAGUCCUGUAGGAAAAACCGCAGGGCAAUCCGAAGACGUGAUGCGGACCGAAAGUUAGUAGGGAAGUAUGUGAGCCAUGCGUCAAGAAAAGCCGCUAUUGUUCUUAUUGUACCCGUACCGUAAACCGACACAGGUGGAUGAGGAGAGAAUCCUAAGGCCGACGG